AGCUUUGUUGCCUGGGGGGAGCAGGGAGAUGGCUGAGGCCAAACCUCAGCCUGCAGCCACCUCUCGCUGACGGCCUCGUGUCUCUCCUGCCUGCUGUAGGGAGAGCCGGGGAUCCCAGGCCGCUCCGGACUGCCAGGGAGGAAGGGCGAGCCGGGAGAGCUGGGCCUGUCGGGAGCACCGGGCAUCCCCGGCAAGGAGGGACUGAUGGGGCCCAAGGGCGACCGGGGAUUCGACGGGCAGCAAGGAGCCAAGGGAGACCAGGGGGAGAAAGGAGACCGGGGCGCUCUAGGUGUUAUCGGCGCCCCCGGCCCGCGGGGCAGCGACGGGGCGCCCGGCCCCCCCGGUCCCCCGGGCAGCGUUGGCCCACGAGGUCCCGAGGGCAUGCAGGGCCAGAAGGUGAGUCCCCGGUGUGCGACGCCAGAGAGCGCAGCGGGGCUCUGGGGCUCGCUGGGGGCGCGGGGAGCCACC
rnacentral:lncRNA from 1 species